CACUCAGUAGAUCUCUACUGCUCAGGGGGAGCGGAAAGUGGCUAAACCCACGAGUACGCUCUCUGUCUGAACCCUUGUCUUUUUGCGUACUCAUGUUUCCUCGGUGGGCUCGCCCGCCGGCUGGACAACACAACAACCUUUUUAAUCUUCAAUCAGCGUCUGAAUAAAUAUAAUAUUUA
rnacentral:misc_RNA from 1 species